CUAUCCACCAUACAAAGAAUUAUGACCCAGUUCACGAUCCCUAUGGCUUCCACUACAUGUGCCCAGUCUUUAGGCAUUGUUUCAGGCUUUUACUCUGAAAAAUGAGGGAGAAACACCACUUUCAAUGAGAGGACAGUGGAAAUUUCCAGACAUGAGUCCUUCGCGUGACCGGGAGCGUGCCUUUCCUCUUUUUCCUUUUCUAUUGACAAAGCUAUUGUCCGGUUGAAAAGUGAUCGAUUAUAUAUGACAAAAACAACCUGAGGAUUGAUUAUAAACAUUGUUUGACAUGUUUCUACGAACCUUUAUGAUUUUUCGUCUGUCUGUUGUGACCACGGUUUGUUCCAAUGGAUUACUGAACAAAAUGGAGGAUUUUGGACAUAAAAAGGGACAUUAUCGACCAAAAUAAACAUUUAUUGUCUAACAUGGAGUCUUUGGAGUGCAACCAUAUGAAGAUCAUCAAAUGCUGGUGGUUCCUGGUCCCCUAGCUGAUACUGCCCCCCACGACACACCUCCACCCCCUUGGACAUCGAGUGGAGGUCCGUUGUACGCUGUCAGAUCCCUACUGGACUCCUGACGUCGUGGGGGUCGGCUCCAGUAUCUGGUGGACUGGGAGCGGUAUGGCCCAGAGGAGCGGUGUUGGGUUCCGGUGGAGGACAUUCUGGACCCCAACAGCCGUGAUUUCCACCUUCGCCAACCGACCCACUCCUUGUUCUCGGGUUUCGGCAUCGUCCUACGGCUGUAGCCGCGCGUCAGAGGGGGGGUACUGUCACGUCUUCUCCUACUCCUCACCUCCAGCGUACGACUUCGCCGGAAUACUAACCACCAGUCCUGGGAUUCAUCAUUACACACACCUGGCACUCAUGACAACACGCACCUGUUAAUCAUUAUGAUUUACACAUGGACUUCAUUACCUUCAUCAUUUUCUCCCCUUUAUAUGUCACUCUCUUAUGUUCACUCACUAGUUGGUAUUAUUCUUGUGUACCGGCAUGUAGACAUGGAAUUGUUUUGUUUCAUUAAACAUUUCACCUGCUUCCCGACUCAUAGCUCCAUUAAAAAGAAAACGUAAGACUGGAGGAUAAUGCAUAUUGAUUGACUCAAUCUUUUUUUGACUGAGAAAUCGCUGGAAGUAAAGUAUCUCAUUUGCAUGUCAGGGUAAUUGCAAAUGCAUCCAAGUUUUAUAGCUUGAUGAGUCACAAGCUUGAUGUAGUCAUUGUGUGCUGAGAAUAUGGGACCAAAUGCUAAACUUUUGACUACUUUAUUGAUAAUCUUUAGGUGUGUCAAAUGUUUUUAAUGACCUGCAAACACACCCCGGUAACAGCUGAAUUGGGCUUUAUGGAAUACAUUGUCUUUCCAUUGCCUCUGUAAGAACGCUAACGCUUCGUGGAGAGUAAACACAUCGUCUAAACACUUGUAUCACAGAAAGGGAAGAAAUAACUUUAUUUUGAUGCGUGUUCAUUUAUUGUGGAAUUGAAAAGAAAUAUCACUUAAUACAGUUGAAAUGUUAACAAAUGCGCUGAAAUGAACAAUUUCCAAUAAUUUACACUCGGAUAUAGUGAUAUUAUAUCUGAUCUCGCAAACAAUAAAAAGUAUGUGUACUGUAUAAUCUAGAGCCAAUCCUGUUUUUUAAUCCGAGGGUAUCCUGCUAUUGACACUUGUUGAAUAAUGCAACAGAACGUGACAACAGUAGGCAGUGUAGACAGCGCAGGUGAGUUCCGGUAGGCACUGCACUGGAUUACUGCCGUUGUACUGGCUCAUGACCAAUUCUCGCUAUUUCAUGUGUGUUUUUUUGAGCUGAUCUUAACUUGUAUUGCACAUGUUUCCGCCAUUUCCUAUGAUUGAAAAUAGCUUCUGAACAUCAGAACAGUGAUCACUAGCUGUCACGUCCUGACCAGUAAAGGGGUUAUUUGUUAUUGUAGUUUGGUCAGGACGUGGCAGUGGGUGUUUGUUUUAUGUGGUUCGGGGUUUGUUGGGCUAUGUGUUUAUUUAGAGGGGUGUUUGUUUAGAGUGUUCCAGGGUUUUUGGUUAAUGUUCUAUGUUAGUAUAUUUCUAUGUUCUAGUCUUUCUAUUUCUAUGUUUAGGGUAUUUGAUUGACCUUCAAUUGGAGGCAGCUGUUCCUCGUUGCCUCUGAUUGAAGGUCCUAUAUAUAGGGAUGUUUUGCUAUGGGGGUUUGUGGGUAGUUGUCUCCAGUUUAGUGUCUGAGCACCUGAUAGGACUGUUAGUGUCGUUAGUGUCAUUCGUUCGUUUUGUAUACGUGAUUUGUUUGUUUUUCCUUCUUCACAUUAAAAAAGAAGAUGAGUAUAUACGUUC
rnacentral:lncRNA from 1 species